rnacentral:rRNA from 1 species
UGAUCCUGGCUCAGGACGAACGCUGGCGGCGUGCCUAAUACAUGCAAGUCGUACGCUUCUUUUUCCACCGGAGCUUGCUCCACCGGAAAAAGAGGAGUGGCGAACGGGUGAGUAACACGUGGGUAACCUGCCCAUCAGAAGGGGAUAACACUUGGAAACAGGUGCUAAUACCGUAUAACAAUCGAAACCGCAUGGUUUUGAUUUGAAAGGCGCUUUCGGGUGUCGCUGAUGGAUGGACCCGCGGUGCAUUAGCUAGUUGGUGAGGUAACGGCUCACCAAGGCCACGAUGCAUAGCCGACCUGAGAGGGUGAUCGGCCACAUUGGGACUGAGACACGGCCCAAACUCCUACGGGAGGCAGCAGUAGGGAAUCUUCGGCAAUGGACGAAAGUCUGACCGAGCAACGCCGCGUGAGUGAAGAAGGUUUUCGGAUCGUAAAACUCUGUUGUUAGAGAAGAAUAAGGAUGAGAGUAACUGUUCAUCCCUUGACGGUAUCUAACCAGAAAGCCACGGCUAACUACU